rnacentral:rRNA from 1 species
GAGGAAAGAACCAACAGGGAUUGCCCUAGUACGGCGAGUGAAGCGGCAAGAGCUCAAAUUUGAAAUCUGGCUCCUUUGGAGUCCGAGUUGUAAUUUGUAGAGGGUGCUUUGGUGUCGGCCAUGGCCUAAGUUCCUUGGAACAGGACGUCACAGAGGGUGAGAACCCCGUACGUGGCUGCUAGCCUUCACCGUGUAAAGCCCCUUCGACGAGUCGAGUUGUUUGGGAAUGCAGCUCUAAAUGGGAGGUAAAUUUCUUCUAAAGCUAAAUAUUGGCCAGAGACCGAUAGCGCACAAGUAGAGUGAUCGAAAGAUGAAAAGCACUUUGGAAAGAGAGUCAAAAAGCACGUGAAAUUGUUGAAAGGGAAGCGCUUGCAGCCAGACUUGCCCGUAGUCGCUCAUCCGAGCUCUUGCUCGGUGCACUCUUCUGCGGGUAGGCCAGCAUCAGUCCGGGCGGUCGGAUAAAGGCUUUGGGAAUGUAGCUCUCUUCGGGGAGUGUUAUAGCCCAGGGUGUCAUGCGACCAGUCUGGACUGAGGUCCGCGCAUCUGCUAGGAUGCUGGCGUAAUGGCUGUAAGCGGCCCGUCUUGAAACACGGACCAAGGAGUCUAACAUCUAUGCGAGUGUUUGGGUGUCAAGCCCGGGCGCGUAAUGAAAGUGAACGGAGGUGGGAACCCUUCGGGGCGCACCAUCGACCGAUCCUGAUGUCUUCGGAUGGAUUUGAGUAAGAGCAUAGCUGUUGGGACCCGAAAGAUGGUGAACUAUGCCUGAAUAGGGUGAAGCCAGAGGAAACUCUGGUGGAGGCUCGCAGCGGUUCUGACGUGCAAAUCGAUCGUCAAAUUUGGGCAUAGGGGCGAAGA